UACGUAGGGUGCGAGCGUUGUCCGGAAUUACUGGGCGUAAAGAGCUCGUAGGUGGUUUGUCGCGUUGUUCGUGAAAACUCACAGCUCAACUGUGGGCGUGCCGGGCGAUACGGGCAGACUGGAGUACUGCAGGGGAGACUGAAUUCCAGGUGUAGCGGUGGAAAUGCGUAGAUAUCUGGAGGAACACCGGUGGCGAAGGCGGCAUCCUGGACCAACACUGACGCUGAGUGAGCGAAAGCCAGGGGAGCAAAGCGGG
rnacentral:rRNA from 1 species